AUGGGGACCAGGAAAAGUCUCCGGUGCAACGUGGUGCCGGACUCAUCGUCCGAAGACACAGAGGCGCACUCCUCCAACGACAACGAGGAGGAGGAGGAGGAAAACCCUCUCCCCCAAAACGAGGGGGAGAAGAAAAGGAAGGCCGCCCCUUCCGGGGAGGCCGAAGGGUCCAAGAAGGGACGGACCCUCCCCCCAGACCACUCCACAACCGCCGCCUAUAGCAAGGAGGAGUGGCUACCUAGGGCCAAGCCCCUUGCGAAGUCUCCGCCCAAAGCUCAUAUAGACUUGCCCUCCUCGGAGUUGAAUAGCUAUUCGCUCCUGACGGCUUCCACCCCCCGGCCCACAGAUGACACCGAGGUGUUAUCUCAGAGGAUGCCAGGCUAG
rnacentral:rRNA from 1 species